rnacentral:rRNA from 1 species
AGCGAACGCUGGCGGCAGGCUUAACACAUGCAAGUCGAACGCCCGUAGCAAUACGGGAGUGGCAGACGGGUGAGUAACGCGUGGGAACAUGCCCUUUGGUUCGGAAUAACUCAGGGAAACUUGAGCUAAUACCGGAUAAGCCCGAGAGGGGAAAGAUUUAUCGCCGAAGGAUUGGCCCGCGUCCGAUUAGCUAGUUGGUGAGGUAAUGGCUCACCAAGGCGACGAUCGGUAGCUGGUCUGAGAGGAUGAUCAGCCACACUGGGACUGAGACACGGCCCAGACUCCUACGGGAGGCAGCAGUGGGGAAUAUUGGACAAUGGGGGCAACCCUGAUCCAGCCAUGCCGCGUGAGUGAUGAAGGCCCUAGGGUUGUAAAGCUCUUUCGGCGGGGACGAUAAUGACGGUACCCGCAGAAGAAGCCCCGGCUAACUUCGUGCUAGCAGCCGCCGCAGUAA